rnacentral:antisense_RNA from 1 species
GGGAACCACAUGGCAGAUGGCUCCUGAUGUCCCCUGGAAGUCAGGUCUUGCUCUGUCACCCAGGCUGGAGUGUAGUGGUGCGAUCAUGCCUCACAGCAGCCUUGACAUCCCCAGGCUCAGAUAAUCCUCCCACCUCAGCCUCCUGAUUAGCUGCGACUACAGGCGCAUGACACCACACCCAGGGUCCCAUCCAGAUACCACAUGACACCCGGUUGUCCUGUCUUCGGAGGCUCCUCCUGGCUGGGACAGUUUCUCAGACUUUCCUUGUUGCAAUGGCUGCUCAAGCUUUGAGGAGUACAGCAACAUCUCCAGCAUGAAGCCCACUGGCCUCAUGUCUGUACUUCUGGAGUCCAGGUGAGCAAAGGUCACCUGCCCACUGGACUUGGCCCACAUGGACUACACCUGAGCCACCAAUCCUCUCGGAGGCCUUCUUGCCUCUAUUUGCUGCAUUCCUUCUUCUCCCCUUUGGACUGCGAGCUCCUCAAGGGAACAGCCUAUAGCUUCCUAUUCAUCUCGCACUCACCUGACCUGCCACACUGGCCAGCCCACUGGAUGGGAGGUAACAGUGUACUGGACAUUCUGAGGGCUGCAGAGGCCUCCUGUGGACCCUGCUCUCUUGCAGCUGACCCAUCAGUGCGCUAUACUUCUACAAAUUGUUGGAAUGGAGACAGGUUUUUUUUUUUUUUCAGGAUAUUUGUUUGAGUCAAAAUGAUCUUGACGGGAAGCUCACUGUUAGAGGUUUCAUGGAAAUAGGCCUGGGGGACAGGAUUUGGCUGAGGCUUUCAACUGACAUCAGACAAGACUGCAAUCAAGGGAAAACAGACCUGGGGCCCACGGGCAAUCACAUGAGAUGAGAAAUACCAAAGAAUGUGAUCAUCCAGGUAGCCGGGGGACACAGCUCCAAAAAAGUGAGAGUGGUGCUGGAUUAGCUCCAUUGGAGGAACUGGAGGUUCCAUUGGAUGGUGCUGGAUUAGUUCCAUUGCCGUUUGGCAAACCAUCUCUGGCAUGUACACGUGGCCACGGUACCCUUCAUACAACACGGGAUGAGAACAACAGGACGCCCAGGAGGCAUCUGGACAGCACACAGCAAACAGAAAGGCUGAACGCCCCCC